ACGGUAACAGGCCGCAAGGUGCUGACGAGUGGCGAACGGGUGAGUAAUGCAUCGGAACGUGCCCAAUCGUGGGGGAUAACGCAGCGAAAGCUGUGCUAAUACCGCAUACGAUCUACGGAUGAAAGCGGGGGACUCAGCGAUGAGCCUCGCGCGAUUGGAGCGGCCGAUGUCAGAUUAGGUAGUUGGUGGGGUAAAGGCUCACCAAGCCAACGAUCUGUAGCUGGUCUGAGAGGACGACCAGCCACACUGGAACUGAGACACGGUCCAGACUCCUACGGGAGGCAGCAGUGGGGAAUUUUGGACAAUGGGCGCAAGCCUGAUCCAGCAAUGCCGCGUGCAGGAAGAAGGCCUUCGGGUUGUAAACUGCUUUUGUACGGAACGAAACGGUCUGGGUUAAUACCCUGGGCUAAUGACGGUACCGUAAGAAUAAGCACCGGCUAACUACGUGCCAGCAGCCGCGGUAAUACGUAGGGUGCGAGCGUUAAUCGGAAUUACUGGGCGUACAAGCGCGCGCAGGCGGUUUUGUAAGACAGUCGUGAAAUCCCCGGGCUCAACCUGGGAAUGGCGAUUGUGACUGCAAAGCUGGAGUGCG
rnacentral:rRNA from 1 species